AGUGGAUGGGGAGCAACCUAGUUGUGCGUGUGUAAAGGUAGUGCCAAGAAAAGCGAUGAUCAUGUUGAAAAUCAAUUCCCGGUACCCGAAACCGACACAGGUGGGCAAGUAGAGAAUACUAAGGGGCGCGAGGUAACUCUCUCCAAGGAACUCGGCAAAAUGACCCCGUAACUUAGGGAGAAGGGGUGCCACCGAGAGGUGGUCGCAGUGAAGAGGCCCAGGCGACUGUUUAGCAAAAACAUAGGUCUCUGCAAACUCGAAAGAGGAGGUAUAGGGGCUGACGCCUGCCCAGUGCCGGAAGGUUAAAGAAGUUGGUCAGUUUUAGGAUGAAGCUAGCGACUGAAGCCCCGGUGAACGGCGGCCGUAACUAUAACGGUCCUAAGGUAGCGAAAUUCCUUGUCGGGUAAGUUCCGACCCGCACGAAAGGCGUAACGAUCUGGGCGCUGUCUCGGAGAGAGGCUCGGCGAAAUAGGAUUGUCUGUGAAGAUACGGACUACCUGCACCUGGACAGAAAGACCCUAUGAAGCUUUACUGUAGCUUGGAAUUGUGUUCGGGCUUCCUGUGCGCAGGAUAGGUGGGAGGCGUAGAAGGUAUUCUUGUGGGGAUACUGGAGCCAACGGUGAGAUACCACUCUCAGGAGGCUAGAAUUCUAACUUAAUUAAGGACAGUUUCAGGUGGGUAGUUUGACUGGGGCGGUCGCCUCCAAAAGGGUAACGGAGGCGUACAAAGGUUCCCUCAGACUGGUUGGAAAUCAGUCGAAGAGUGCAAAGGCAGAAGGGAGCUUGACUGCGAGAAGUACAGUUCGAGCAGGGUGGAAACACGGUCUUAGUGAUCCGACGGUGCUGUGUGGAAGGGCCGUCGCUCAACGGAUAAAAGUUACUCUAGGAUAACAGGCUGAUCUCCCCCAAGAGUUCACAUCGACGGGGAGGUUUGGCACCUCGAUGUCGGCUCAUCGCAACCUGGGGCGGAAGUACGUCCCAAGGGUUGGGCUGUUCGCCCAUUAAAGCGGUACGUGAGCUGGGUUCAGAACGUCGUGAGACAGUUCGGUCCAUAUCCGAUGUAGGCGUGAGAAUAUUGAGAGGAGCCUUCCUUAGUACGAGAGGACCGGGAAGGACGCACCGCUGGUGUACCUGUUAUGAUGCCAAUUGUAAACGCAGGGUAGCCAAGUGCGGAGAGGAUAACCGCUGAAAGCAUCUAAGUGGGAAGCCCACCUCAAGAUGAGUAUUCUGGUGUAAGGUCACGGGAAGACGACCCGUAAAUAGGCACGAGGUGGAAGUGCAGAGAUGUAUGAAGCCGAAGUGUACUAAUAGACCGUCGGCUUGACC
rnacentral:rRNA from 1 species